rnacentral:rRNA from 1 species
CAGGAUGAACGCUAGCGACAGGCUAACACAUGCAAGUCGAGGGGCGAUCACGGGAGUAGCAAUACAACUGGUGGCGACCGGCGCACGGGUGAGUAACGCGUAUGCAACCUACCUAUCAGAGGGGAAUAACCCGGCGAAAGUCGGACUAAUACCGCAUAAAACAGGGGCACCGCAUGGUGAUAUUUGUUAAAGAAAUUCGCUGAUAGAUGGGCAUGCGUUCCAUUAGGUAGUUGGUGAGGUAACGGCUCACCAAGCCGACGAUGGAUAGGGGAACUGAGAGGUUGGUCCCCCACACUGGUACUGAGACACGGACCAGACUCCUACGGGAGGCAGCAGUGAGGAAUAUUGGUCAAUGGGCGGGAGCCUGAACCAGCCAAGUCGCGUGGAAAAGGAAGAAGGAUCUAUGGUUCGUAAACUUCUUUUGCAGGGGAAUAAAGUGCAGGACGUGUCCUGUUUUGUAUGUACCCUGAGAAUAAGGAUCGGCUAACUCCGUGCCAGCCGCUGC